AGACACAUGAAAGGCCUAUAGAAACAAUGGCUCAUAAAUAUUGUCCUCUUGUACCAUCAAUUUUCCAUUCCACCCAUAAAGUGCUCUAUUUUCUUUGUAACAUCUGCUUCCCUUGUCCGGACUCAUACACAUUCUUAGCCUAGUGCAAGGCCACAUGGGCAAUACCUCAAAAUUCCAACAAAACAACCUCUCAAUUUGGCAAAUCUCUUCACUGUCGGUCUGAACUUUGUCAUGGUGUCUUUCUGAAAAAUAAAAAGAAAAACCCCUAACAAAAAAAUGUCACUUGAGAUGGAUCAAGAGCACCCCAAGUUGAAAUUGAAGAAAUGAGCACAACUUUUUUUUUUCCCCAGAACUUGAUUCUCCGGUGAUCCAAAAUGUGACUUGGUUGAAAUUUUGCAAAAAUCCAAUCACCCUAGAUGCAUUUGCAAAAGGCUAAUUGAUUAGUUUUGAGAGAAACUUCAUAUACGCGAGCUCUAAAUCCAAUAUGAAUCACAUAGUACUCCACAUCUAAAUCCAAUAUGAAUCACAUAGUACUCCACA
rnacentral:misc_RNA from 1 species